UACGAAGGGGGCUAGCGUUGUUCGGAAUUACUGGGCGUAAAGCGCGCGCAGGCGGUCUUCCAAGUCAGUGGUGAAAGCCCGGAGCUCAACUCCGGAAUUGCCAUUGAAACUGUAAGACUUGAGGAUGAGAGAGGUGAGUGGAAUUCCCAGUGUAGAGGUGAAAUUCGUAGAUAUUGGGAAGAACACCGGUGGCGAAGGCGGCUCACUGGCUCAUUUCUGACGCUCAGGCGCGACAGCGUGGGGAUCAAAC
rnacentral:rRNA from 1 species